rnacentral:sRNA from 1 species
UUCACCAUGCCACACCAACAACGACAACAACAACUCAACGUCAUUGCGCUGAUAUCUGGCGGCAAAGACUCUCUCUACACCAUCCUCCACUGUCUUAAACAUGGACACAAGGUUGUUGCGCUCGCGAACCUCCAUCCGUCUCUGCAGCCACAGCGCAGCUCUAAUUAUGCUACAUACCUAACGGCGGGGUCGUUGCGAUGCGACGACCGGGAUGGAGAUGAUGUCCAAAAGGGUAGAGCUGGCGAGGAGGAAGGUAACGGAGAUGGACUGCUUGGCCAAUUGGGGAAAGAGGAGGAGGAGGAGGAGGAGGAGGAGGACGACGUAGAAGAAGAAGACCUCCACACUUACAUGUAUCAAACAGUCGGCCACAGUAUAAUCCCCCUGUACCAAUCCGCCCUGGACAUCCCGCUCUACCGCGCCCCAAUCCACGGCACAGCCAUCAACACAUCGCGCGACUAUCAGGAACCUCCUCCACCGUCAUCAUCAUCAACAUCAUCAACAUCAGCAACAGCAACAGCAACGGCAGCAGCAGCAGCAGCAGCAGCAGCAGCAACAACAGACGAAACAGAAUCUAUCUUCCACCUCCUCCAACAGAUACUAACGGUCCACCCAACUGCCAACGCCGUCUGCGCCGGCGCCAUCCUCUCCACCUACCAGCGUACGCGAGUCGAGAACGUCGCCAGCCGUCUGGGAUUGACCUCCAUGGCCUGGCUGUGGAUGUACCCAACCCUUCCACCGCCAGCGGAACGUGAGUUGGUCCCACCUCGCUCCCCCGCAGCCAUCGCGGGAUUGUUAGAGGAUAUGGCCGCGUGCGGCUGUGAGGCGCGGAUUAUUAAGAUUGCUAGUGGCGGGUUGGAUGUGGAAGAUCUGUGGGGG